UACGGGGGGGGCAAGCGUUGUUCGGAAUUACUGGGCGUAAAGGGCUCGUAGGCGGCCAACUAAGUCGGACGUGAAAUCCCCAGGCUCAACCUGGGAACUGCGUCUGAUACUGGAUGGCUUGAAUCCGGGAGAGGGAUGCAGAAUUCCAGGUGUAGCGGUGAAAUGCGUAGAUAUCUGGAGGAAUACCGGUGGCGAAGGCGGCAUCCGGGACCGGCAUUGACGCUGAGGAGCGAAAGCCAGGGGAGCAAACGGG
rnacentral:rRNA from 1 species